GACGAACGCUGGCGGCGUGGAUUAGGCAUGCAAGUCGAACGGUAUAAACCUUUCGGGGUUUAGAGAGUGGCGAACGGGUGAGUAACACGUAGGUAAUCUACCCUCAAAACGGGGACAACCCAGGGAAACUUGGGCUAAUACCGGAUGCGUGCAAACAAUGUUUUGGCUGUUGUAAUUAUUCACGGAAGUGGAUAGUUAUGAGAGUUUCAGAGCAUAAUUUGCAUAAAAGGUGGCGUAAGCUGCCGUUUGAGGAUGAGCCUGCGUCCUAUUAGUUAGUUGGUGAGGUAAUAGCUUACCAAGGCGAUGAUAGGUAGGCGGCCUUAACGGGUGGUCGCCCACACUGGGAUUGAGAUACGGCCCAGACUCCUACGGGAGGCAGCAGUCGAGAAUAGUCUACAAUGGACGAAAGUCUGAUAGUGCGACGCCGCGUGAACGAAGAAUCCUUCGGGGUGUAAAGUUCUUUUCUAUGUGAGCAGUUCCUUUUAUAUGAAGAGUAUAGGAGGCGGGAUUUAAGCAUAGGAA
rnacentral:rRNA from 1 species